GAGAAAGAAGCAUAAUAGGAGAUGUGGCUGGCUUGAAACCAGUUGAAGGUGGUUCAACUCCCCCCUUUCUUA
rnacentral:tRNA from 1 species